rnacentral:misc_RNA from 1 species
GAUGAAGAACGCAGCGAAAUGCGAUAAGUAAUGCGAAUUGCAGAAUCCGUGAGUCAUCGAAUCUUUGAACGCACAUUGCGCCCCUUGGUAUCCCGAGGGGCAUGCCUGUUCGAGCGUCAUUUCACCACUCAAGCCUGGCUUGGUGUUGGGCGACGUCCCCUUUAGGGACGCGCCUCGAAACGCUCGGCGGCGUGGCACCGGCUUUAAGCGUAGCAGAAUCUUUCGCUUUGGAAGUCGGGGCCCCGCCUGCCGGAAUACCUACUCGUAAGGUUGACCUCGGAUCAGGCAGGGAUACCCGCUGAACUUAAGCAUAUCAAUAAGCGGAGGA